rnacentral:hammerhead_ribozyme from 1 species
GUGCUACUGAGGUGUCCCAAACUAGGACGAAACAUAUGUCUGGUAC